GACUCCACGAAGUUGGAUUCGCUAGUAAUCGCGCAUCAGCCAUGGCGCGGUGAAUACGUUCCGGGGCCUUGUACACACCGCCCGUCAAGCCAUGGGAGCCGGGGGCGCCUGAAGUCCGGGACCGCGAGGACCGGCCUAGGGCGAAACUGGUAACUGGGGCUAAGUCGUAACAAGGUAAC
rnacentral:rRNA from 1 species